CCUANGGGUGGCUGCAGUGGGGAAUUUUGGACAAUGGGGGCAACCCUGAUCCAGCAAUGCCGCGUGAGUGAAGAAGGCCUUCGGGUUGUAAAGCUCUUUCGGUGGGAACGAAACGGUUACGGUGAAUAGCCGUGAUCAAUGACGGUACUCACAGAAGAAGCACCGGCUAACUACGUGCCAGCAGCCGCGGUAAUACGUAGGGUGCGAGCGUUAAUCGGAAUUACUGGGCGUAAAGGGUGCGCAGGCGGUUUUGCAAGCUGGAUGUGAAAGCCCCGGGCUCAACCUGGGAGGUGCAUUCAGGACUGUGAAGCUAGAGUGUGGCAGAGGGAGGUGGAAUUCCACGUGUAGCAGUGAAAUGCGUAGAGAUGUGGAGGAACACCGAUGGCGAAGGCAGCCUCCUGGGCCAACACUGACGCUCAUGCACGAAAGCGUGGGGAGCAAACAGGAUUAGAUACCCUUNUANUC
rnacentral:rRNA from 1 species